CAUCCAUCUAUCACCUAUCAUCCAUCCAUCCAUCCACCUAUCUAUCACCUCACCCCAGUCAUUUAGUGUUACCUGUGUGUACAUGUGUUUAAGGAUGAUCAGUUGGGAUCAGGUAAUCUAUCAGGGGCACACCCCUUAAGAAAAAUGAUUCUUCUCUCAGAAGUCAUUGACUGCCUUCAUAUAUGGAGGGAGUCUUGUGAAAAUUUCCGAAUCUACUAUGGCCUAUUGAUUGGCAUUGAUUGUCAUUGUACAGGUUUUAUGAAGGCAGCCAUAUUAAGAUGGCGUGGGUGCAUCUUCUCUGUUAUAUAUAGGAGACCCUGUCUCACAGCAGGUGUCCUGAUCCUAUGGCUCUACAAAUCUUCCUGCCCUCUUUCCUGCGAUGUUCUCUGAGCUUCAGGUGUAGGGGUUGGGUUGAAGAUAUAACAGUUGGGGCUAGAAACCUCCAAGUCACAUUUUCUUGACCUCAAAGUCACAUGUGCUUUGACCAGUUGUAGAUCUCUGUAGUAGCCUCGGAGUACAAA